rnacentral:rRNA from 1 species
UUUAACCUACGGGGGGCAGCAGUGGGGGAUAUUGCACAAUGGGGGAAACCCUGAUGCAGCGACGCCGCGUGUGGGAAGACGGUCUUCUGGAUUGUAAACCACUGUCCCCAGGGACGAAAAUGACGGUACCUGGGGAGGAAGCUCCGGCUAACUACGUGCCAGCAGCCGCGGUAAUACGUAGGGAGCAAGUGUUGUCCGGAAUUACUGGGUGUAAAGGGAGCGUAGGCGGGGAUGCAAGUUGGGUGUCAAAACUAUCGGCCCAACCGAUAGUCGCACUCAAAACU